UCAGCGACUUAUAUUCUGUAGCAAGGUUAACCGAAUAGGGGAGCCGGAGGGAAACCGAGUCUUAAUUGGGCGUUAAGUUGCAGGGUAUAGACCCGAAACCCGGUGAUCUAGCCAUGGGCAGGUUGAAGGUUGGGUAACACUAACUGGAGGACCGAACCGACUAAUGUUGAAAAAUUAGCGGAUGACCUGUGGCUGGGGGUGAAAGGCCAAUCAAACCGGGAGAUAGCUGGUUCUCCCCGAAAGCUAUUUAGGUAGCGCCUCGUGAAUUCAUCUCCGGGGGUAGAGCACUGUUUCGGCUAGGGGGCCAUCCCGGCUUACCAACCCGAUGCAAACUGCGAAUACCGGAGAAUGUUAUCACGGGAGACACACGGCGGGUGCUAACGUCCGUCGUGAAGAGGGAAACAACCCAGACCGCCAGCUAAGGUCCCAAAGUCAUGGUUAAGUGGGAAACGAUGUGGGAAGGCCCAGACAGCCAGGAUGUUGGCUUAGAAGCAGCCAUCAUUUAAAGAAAGCGUAAUAGCUCACUGGUCGAGUCGGCCUGCGCGGAAGAUGUAACGGGGCUAAACCAUGCACCGAAGCUGCGGCAGCGACACUGUGUGUUGUUGGGUAGGGGAGCGUUCUGUAAGCCUGUGAAGGUGUGUCGUGAGGCAUGCUGGAGGUAUCAGAAGUGCGAAUGCUGACAUAAGUAACGAUAAAGCGGGUGAAAAGCCCGCUCGCCGGAAGACCAAGGGUUCCUGUCCAACGUUAAUCGGGGCAGGGUGAGUCGACCCCUAAGGCGAGGCCGAAAGGCGUAGUCGAUGGGAAACGGGUUAAUAUUCCCGUACUUGGUGUUACUGCGAAGGGGGGACGGAGAAGGCUAUGUUGGCCGGGCGACGGUUGUCCCGGUUUAAGCGUGUAGGUGUGUGUUCCAGGUAAAUCCGGUUCACUUUAACACUGAGGCGUGACGACGAGGCACUACGGUGCUGAAGCAACAAAUGCCCUGCUUCCAGGAAAAGCCUCUAAGCAUCAGGUAACAUCAAAUCGUACCCCAAACCGACACAGGUGGUCAGGUAGAGAAUACCAAGGCGCUUGAGAGAACUCGGGUGAAGGAACUAGGCAAAAUGGUGCCGUAACUUCGGGAGAAGGCACGCUGACACGUAGGUGAAGUGAUUUACUCAUGGAGCUGAAGUCAGUCGAAGAUACCAGCUGGCUGCAACUGUUUAUUAAAAACACAGCACUGUGCAAACACGAAAGUGGACGUAUACGGUGUGACGCCUGCCCGGUGCCGGAAGGUUAAUUGAUGGGGUCAGCGCAAGCGAAGCUCCUGAUCGAAGCCCCGGUAAACGGCGGCCGUAACUAUAACGGUCCUAAGGUAGCGAAAUUCCUUGUCGGGUAAGUUCCGACCUGCACGAAUGGCGUAAUGAUGGCCAGGCUGUCUCCACCCGAGACUCAGUGAAAUUGAACUCGCUGUGAAGAUGCAGUGUACCCGCGGCAAGACGGAAAGACCCCGUGAACCUUUACUAUAGCUUGACACUGAACAUUGAGCCUUGAUGUGUAGGAUAGGUGGGAGGCUUUGAAGUGUGGACGCCAGUCUGCAUGGAGCCGACCUUGAAAUACCACCCUUUAAUGUUUGAUGUUCUAACGUGGACCCGUUACCCGGGUUGCGGACAGUGUCUGGUGGGUAGUUUGACUGGGGCGGUCUCCUCCUAAAGAGUAACGGAGGAGCACGAAGGUUGGCUAAUCCUGGUCGGACAUCAGGAGGUUAGUGCAAUGGCAUAAGCCAGCUUGACUGCGAGCGUGACGGCGCGAGCAGGUGCGAAAGCAGGUCAUAGUGAUCCGGUGGUUCUGAAUGGAAGGGCCAUCGCUCAACGGAUAAAAGGUACUCCGGGGAUAACAGGCUGAUACCGCCCAAGAGUUCAUAUCGACGGCGGUGUUUGGCACCUCGAUGUCGGCUCAUCACAUCCUGGGGCUGAAGUAGGUCCCAAGGGUAUGGCUGUUCGCCAUUUAAAGUGGUACGCGAGCUGGGUUUAGAACGUCGUGAGACAGUUCGGUCCCUAUCUGCCGUGGGCGCUGGAGAACUGAGGGGGGCUGCUCCUAGUACGAGAGGACCGGAGUGGACGCAUCACUGGUGUUCGGGUUGUCAUGCCAAUGGCACUGCCCGGUAGCUAAAUGCGGAAGAGAUAAGUGCUGAAAGCAUCUAAGCACGAAACUUGCCCCGAGAUGAGUUCUCCCUGAGACUUAGAGUCUCCUGAAGGAACGUUGAAGACGACGACGUUGAUAGGCCGGGUGUGUAAGCGCAGCGAUGCGUUGAGCUAACCGGUACUAAUGAACCGUGAGGCUUAACCUUACAACGCCGAAG
rnacentral:rRNA from 1 species